CCUACGGGAGGCAGCAGUGAGGAAUAUUGGUCAAUGGACGAGAGUCUGAACCAGCCAAGUCGCGUGAAGGAUGACUGCCCUAUGGGUUGUAAACUUCCUUUAUAAAGGAAUAAAACGAGGCACGUGUGCCUUUUUGCAUGUACCUUAUGAAUAAGGAUCGGCUAACUCCGUGCCAGCAGCCGCGGUAAUACGGAGGAUCCGAGCGUUAUCCGGAUUUAUUGGGUUUAAAGGGAGCGUAGAUGGGUUGUUAAGUCAGUUGUUAAAGUUUGCGGCUCAACCGUAAAAUUGCAAUUGAUACUGGCAGUCUUGAGUACAGUUGAGGUAGGCGGAAUGCGUGGUGUAGCGGUGAAAUGCUUAGAUAUCACGAAGAACCCCGAUUGCGAAGGCAGCUUACUAAACUGUGACUGACAUUGAUGCUCGAAAGUGUGGGUAUCAAACAGGAUUAGAUACCCGAGUAGUC
rnacentral:rRNA from 1 species